ensembl:lncRNA
AGGAGCAGGAAGAUCACAGUGGCUUCAGUCUGCAAACUGAGUGGAGAGAUGUGCCCAUGCCCACAUGGACCUGCUGAAAGAGGACGUUUUGCUCAUUCCUUCUACUUCAUUUCUCCUCACAUUCUUCUCUGGCCUAGGAAAUUUGACUUUGUCUCCUGUAGUGUUUGAACAUCUGUAUCCUUUCCUGGGCUGCUGGGUAUCACUUCAUAUUCCCUGAACUGAUGAUGGGAUUCUAUCAGAGAUGUCAGAGGACAUGGAUUUGGCAGUGCUGUGCCGUAAUUCCAUCACAAUUCUUGAAGCUGCUGCUUGGGCUGCAAGUGAAGCCUCAUCAGGAUUGUUGCUGGAGAUGUAAAAGAAUGUUCACAUUGUGCUUCAGAUAUGUCUCAAACGAACAUCCAGCUUGCAAAAAGACAUAUUUGAGAAGCUGCUGGACAGAGAAAUAGAAAGAGAUCAAACAUUCCCUGAAGUGUGGUAGAAGGCAGGAAGAAUGACACUUGCUAAUUUGAAUUUCAGAAAACGCCUAAACUUCAUUCUGAUCUCCAGGUAAGUGUCUGUGAGCCUCUUGCCUUUGACACUUGUUAAAACUUAAUCACAUACUUUUUUGGUGCCAAGUUAUCUCAUGCAGACCAAAGAGAGAAGCAUGAGUGAGCACGUGCUGGUGUUUGUGGGGGAGGGAAUACUUCAUUCGUUUGUUCAGAUGAUAUGAAGUGAAAACAUUACUCUGGAAAACAUGAGAUCAGUUUAUAAAAAAGGAGGAGAGAUUAAGUGACAAACUGAAAAACUUAAACUACAGGUGAUCUGAUACAGUUGCUCUAUGCAAGAUCUCAAGAAGGAAACAUCUGGGAACAUGUAAAUUACUAAUUUAGAUUGAGCUUUAUUUUCAUCUAUUCAUUCUCUUCAUCUUCCCCCAAACUGAUUUUUAAAAAUACCCUCAGGCAUGUCAUGGGCUAUAUCAAAGUCUGUUCUUAAAAUGUAGCCAUCAAGACUAAAGGAGAAGGAAAAGAAUGAACAUUUAAUGUCAGUACUAACUACAUGGGUUCUCUCUCUGAAGAUUUGGAUAGCUAUAGAGAAGUUUGCAAUGUGUUACCUAUACUGCAAAACUCAGUAUUAAUAGCCUAAAGAGUGUGUGUGUGUACAAUGGCCAGUGACUCAAAAUGAAGACUUCUUUAGAUCCCUCAUCAUCACUGUUAGACUGAGGACUGCAAAAUAUUUUCUGUCCUUUCACUUAUAUUUAGAAAAGAAUUAAUUUCAGUCAGGACUGGGCUGCAUCAUUUGGGAGUAUUUGAGCCAUGGUUAUGGGGGAUCUGUUGCAUGAUUUCACUCAAAUGUUGUUUAUGCCUGAAGUCCUAUGCUGAGCUAACCACCCAUGUCGGUGCUGAUGCAAGAUGGACUCACUGUCCACUUUAGAUAUCAGACUGAAAUGUGAUUUCAUGCACCAAAAGUUGGAAGCCUAAUGUUAGUGUUCCUCUCCUCUAGAGUCACUGGAAAGGGGUGGGCACAUCUGAAGGAUGACUUGUGCAAACUCUAAAGGGGGAUGCCAUGAAUACAACCCAUUGUGACUGCUUGCAGACUAAGUACAUUUGGCAAACUAUGUCAGUUUUGUGGUGUGUUUAGUAAUAGCAAAGUCAGCUGGUAUAUUUUAUGCUUGUGUAAGAAUGGCUUAAUGAAUGGAAGGAAAAACAUUCCCAGGGUUCUUGGCAGGGAUACUACAUGGGAUGUUGGGCAUGGUUGCAGUGAGCAUUGUGCACAUGAUUGGUAAGGUGGGAAACCAGACCUUUAAAUACUGUGUCAUCCAGGUCCUGGAGAUCUCGUGUGACACUGCAGAACAAAGCAGGGGUGUGUGAUACCUUGAACAUAUUUUCCAUCAAAUAGCUACAUGCAGCAGCCCUGCUGCAGCCCGUGUAGUUUCUGGAACAGGAUGGUAUAUGAGCACUUAGCAAUUUUGAACUGUGUGAAAUAUUGCUAGUAGUCACAGUGACCUUGUCUAGGAUGUCCAAAAGCAAACUGGUACAAAAGGAGGGUACAAAUGAGGAUAGCUUGUUCUCCAUUCUUGGUGGACAGGGAAGAAAAAUGUGCUUAAACUGUAGCAGAGAAGAGUAGUGAGACAUAAGCCUUUCUGAGCAGCACCGAAAGAGGCUGCCUACAGGCUGUGAAAUUGUUUUCCUCAAGAAUCUCUAAUUUCGAAAAAUGCAUCUGUGGUGUGUGCCACGUGGGGCUGAGCACUGCUGGGCCUGUGGUGAGGGCUGGCAGGGAGAUGAUGGUAUCAACAGGUGAGAUUUGGGCUGCAGUGAACACCUGGGCCAUACCUGGGAGAUGGUUUGAUAAAAAGUGCAGCUUUGGCUGGGUUUUUCUAAGGCUGACACCAAGACUCCUCUGUAUCAGUGGUCUCAGCCUUCCCUGACAUGCAGCCUUGCUUUAUUAGCAGGGAGGAGUGAGGCAGAUUUUGUCAGCAGAGCAAACCAGGAGUUCUGCUCACUGCCAGAUAUUCAGAGAGCCAUCAGGAAGAGUUUGUUUACCAGAACACUUUUCUUCAGCAAUUUCCCACCUCAGAAUGAAGCAUGAUGGUUUUCACAUGUGUAGUGAGCACUAUUUAUAGCUGAGCAGCAAGAACUGAGUUUGCAGCAGAACUGACACAGUCAUUUGAUGCAAUGUAUGAUUUCUCCCCAACACCAGACAUGGUAAAAAACAAUCUGCAAUAUACAUUUUAUCUAGAAGCACAAUUAAUCACAGUGAUUAAUUCUCAUGAUCUCUUAGCCUAUUAUUAAGGUGUAGAAAUAUUGCUUGACAGACAAUGGGUUAAGGAAGAACAUUUCUGAAUCACUGUUUUACCUACUGUGGACACAUCACUUUGACUCUUUGUGCUUGGUGAAAUCACCAGGGAUUAUUCCAUCUUUCUGAAAAAGCUGAAUAAAGAUAGAUUCAGG